AGGCCGGCCUGGAACGCGUGGACGCGAGAUGCCCGAUGGGAGUGAAAGAGACCAACGUGAGCGAAACUUCUCACCUUACGCUCAUUUCUGAGCACGAAAUGCGUCGCUGUGGGAGUUCGGCAAAAACAAAAGAUAAAACGUGAGAAUGUGGAUACUUUACUCUCCCGGUUUCGGCAGAGAGGAAAAAAGUUGCGGAACGAAAGCGAUGGCGAUAUGCCAGAGCACAGCAGAAAUAUUACUAUUUACUUCAACUUUUUUUUUGUUAAAAUUUAAUACUGUGCACAAGAGUGUUCUUAGUUGCAUUCAACAACAAUUGAGUAGAGCAACAAAAUUAACAAACACACUUUGUUGUAGCGGAACAAAAUGCUAUCAAAAUGUUUAAGUUUUUUAGCAUAAAAAUAAUCAUUUUCUAAAUUAUUUAAAAAGUUUAAUAAAUGAUUAUGAGAUUUUUAGACAAUUUUGUACAAAAUUUAAAUCGUUACAAUUUUAAAAACUAAAAACUGACUUUUUUGUCAAAAAGUAAAGACCCUCUUUUCGUGCAGGAAAUCCACAGGUCGCGUUACACCAAAUGUCCUUUUAACAGUGUUGCCAGAUUUUUAGUUCGUUUUGGGCCUCUGUGCAUGAUCAAUCUUGAACACCUAAUUUAUAAUUUAGGUAGGUCAAAUUUGUGAAGAGUGUGAACAAAUUUGAUGGUGCACAUUUUAAAACCAUCAUCGCCUUAACAUGAAUAAUCGAUGUGUCUGCACGUUCUACUUAAAAAAUGAAACCAACAACGAAAAAGAGUUGCUUACAGAGUUCAGCCUCAUGGAUGCAUUCCUGACCCUGAAGAUUUCUUAUCGAUACUGCUGCUGCUCGUAUCCUUUUCCAGUGACUGUCCCUUGCUUUAUAGACCAUUCGGUUUAUAUAAAUUUUCGGCGCAUUUGGGUUCUUGCUCGAUGCGCAGCCACACCAUCCAUAAAUAGCAGGUAGAAAAGGAAGAAUUUCCUUUCUAUUCUGUAAUCUAAUGGCACACAUUCACACGGAGGCGGACAAACAGAUGCACCAGCCACUCCAGCGUCGAUAGCUCCGGAGGGCUGACUCCUACCCGUAGGGACGUUCCAGUUGCCAUUUCUUAGGGUAGGUCUUUGGUUCAUUAUGAGAAUACCUGUGUUUUGAGGAUGCAACAAGAACGUUCUCUAGAACUACGAGACCUUCCCAGCUCGCAUUCGAAGCAGUGUUUUCCUUUUUUUUUUUUUAACCGAGCAGUGGCCUGGAGAACCUGGUUUAGCUCGAGAUUUUGCUUUCUCUUUUUCCAGAUUCUGGUUCUGGAACAAGAGGAAGGCCAGAGAAAGACAACCACCAACACAAAACUGCUUCUCUGCCAACGCUCCUGACGUAUUCAAACAGCAAAA